rnacentral:rRNA from 1 species
GCCGUAAACAUUGAUAGAUUAAUACAACCCCUAUCCGCCCGGGAACUACGAGCACCAGCUUAAAACCCAAAGGACUUGGCGGUGCUUUAGAUCCUACUAGAGGAGCCUGUUCUAGAACCGAUACCCCCCGUUCAACCUCACCUUUCCUUGUUUUUCCCGCCUAUAUACCGCCGUCGUCAGCCCACCCUAUGAAGGACUAAAAGUAGGCUAAAUUGGCACAGCCCAGAACGUCAGGCCGAGGUGUAGCGUAUGGAAGGGGAAGAAAUGGGCUACAUUCCCUAUACUAGGGUACACGAAUGGUGUGCUGAAACGUACAUCUUGAAGGAGGAUUUAGCAGUAAGCAGGAAGUAGAGCGUCCUGCUGAAACUGGCUC